rnacentral:rRNA from 1 species
AUUGCUUAUAACCUUUUGGUUAUAAAUAAUUGUUAGUGGCAGACGGGUGAGUAAUGCGUAGGAAUCUACCUAGUAGUAUGGAAUAGCCAUUAGAAAUGAUGGGUAAUACUGUAUAAUCCCUGCGGGGGAAAGAUUUAUCGCUAUUAGAUGAGCCUACGUUAGAUUAGCUAGUUGGUAAGGUAAUGGCUUACCAAGGCUAUGAUCUAUAGCUGGUCUGAGAGGACGAUCAGCCACACUGGAACUGAGAUACGGUCCAGACUCCUACGGGAGGCAGCAGUGGGGAAUAUUGGACAAUGGGCGAAAGCCUGAUCCAGCUAUGCCGCGUGAGUGAAGAAGGCCUUCGGGUUGUAAAACUCUUUCAAUAGGGAAGAUAAUGACGGUACCUAUAGAAGA